rnacentral:rRNA from 1 species
AAAUUGAAGAGUUUGAUCAUGGCUCAGAUUGAACGCUGGCGGCAGGCCUAACACAUGCAAGUCGAACGGUAGCACAGAGAGCUUGCUCUCGGGUGACGAGUGGCGGACGGGUGAGUAAUGUCUGGGAAACUGCCUGAUGGAGGGGGAUAACUACUGGAAACGGUGGCUAAUACCGCAUAACGUCGCAAGACCAAAGAGGGGGACCUUCGGGCCUCUUGCCAUCAGAUGUGCCCAGAUGGGAUUAGCUUGUUGGUGAGGUAACGGCUCACCAAGGCGACGAUCCCUAGCUGGUCUGAGAGGAUGACCAGCCACACUGGAACUGAGACACGGUCCAGACUCCUACGGGA